UUNAAGGUCUAACCUGCCCAAUGAGGAUUUAAAUGGCCGCAGUAUUUUGACUGUGCAAAGGUAGCAUAAUUAUUAGUUUUUUAAUUGAAAGCUUGUAUGAAGGGUUGGACGAGAUAAAAUCUGUCUUUAUUUAAAUUAGAGUAAAAUUUAACUUUUAAGUCAAAAGGCUUAAAUGUUUAUAAAAGACGAGAAGACCCUAUAGAUCUUUAUUUAUUUAAGAUUUUAAUAAUUUAGGAUUAUUUUAAUUUGAAGUUUUAAAUAAAUUUUAUUGGGGUAAUAUAAAGAUUAAAUAAAUUCUUUUUAUUUAUUACAUUGAUUUAUGAAUAUAUGAUCCAUUAAUAUUGAUUAUAAGAUUAAGUUACCUUAGGGAUAACAGCGUAAUUUUUUUGGAGAGCUCAUAUCGAUAAAAUAGUUUGCGACCUCGAUGUUGGAUUAAAAAUUAGCUUGGGUGCAGAAGCUCAAGAUUUUGGUCUGUUCGACCAUUAAAUUUUUACAUGAUCUGAGUUCAGACCGGCGUAAGCCAGGUCGGUUUCUAUCUUUAUUUAAAUAAAAUGUUUUAGUACGAAAGGACCAAAUAUUUAAUAUAGUUAUAUUUAUUUAUUGAAGAAUAUU
rnacentral:rRNA from 1 species